GAUGAAGAACGCAGCGAAAUGCGAUAAGUAAUGUGAAUUGCAGAAUUCAGUGAACCAUCGAAUCUUUGAACGCACAUUGCGCCCGGCAGUAAUCUGCCGGGCAUGCCUGUCCGAGCGUCAUUUCUGCCCUCGAGCCUGUCCAGCAUCUAGGUGCUGUUCCGGCCCGGCGUUGGGGCACUACGGGAAGCCUCGUGCUAUCCCCCGUAGGCCCCGAAAUGAAGUGGCGGUCCUGCCGCGGCUCCCCCUGCGUAGUAUUACAGCUCGCUUCGGGACCCAGUGGAGGCCUGCCGUCAAACCUUACUCUCUAAGUUUGACCUCGGAUCAGGUAGGGUUACCCGCUGAACUUAAGCAUAUCAAUAAGCGGAGGA
rnacentral:misc_RNA from 1 species